UUUAAAUCCACUGAGACAAAGACUUGGUCUGAGAGCAGGAAACACUGUAAGACCAGAGGAGCUGAUCUGGUGAUGAUAGACAGCAAAGAGGAACAGGAAUUUAUCAAUGAAUUUGGAGGAUACUCUUGGAUUGGUCUGAGCACCAAACAGACACCAGGAGGAUCUAAAUGGGAAUGGGUGGACGGAUCAGCGCUGAGAGAAACGUUCUGGGUACCAGGAUGGUCACAUGCUUCUUCUGGUUACUAUGGAGUCUGCUGUGAUGAUUCUGGGAGAUGGA